rnacentral:rRNA from 1 species
ACGCUCGACACCUACGGGAAGCAGCAGUUAGGAAUAUUGGGCAAUGGAGGAAACUCUGACCCAGCAACGCCGCGUGAAGGAAGAAGGUUUUCGGAUUGUAAACUUCUGAUCUAGGGGAAGAAGGAAGUGACGGUACCCUAGGAGAAAGCCACGGCUAACUACGUGCCAGUAGCCGCGGUAAUCUGAGCGGGCUGGCAAGGC